rnacentral:rRNA from 1 species
UACGUAGGGUGCAAGCGUUAAUCGGAAUUACUGGGCGUAAAGCGUGCGCAGGCGGUUUUGUAAGUCUGACGUGAAAGCCCCGGGCUCAACCUGGGAAUUGCGUUGGAGACUGCAAGGCUUGAAUCUGGCAGAGGGGGGUAGAAUUCCAAGUGUAGCAGUGAAAUGCGUAGAGAUGUGGAGGAACACCGAUGGCGAAGGCAGCCCCCUGGGUCAAGAUUGACACUCAUGCACGAAAGCGUGGGGAGCAAACAGG